rnacentral:lncRNA from 1 species
GGAGCCGCGCGGGGGCCCGGGGGAAACGCCGGCCUGGUCUGGGUGGGAGGGGACGCGAAGAGGCUCCGGGCUCGGCCAGUGUCUGCCCCGGGACUGGGCCCUGGGACUAGGCGGGGCACAGGUGUCCCAGGAGGGGGCGCCCUGACUUGACGCGAACGGGCCACCUGUCCCUCCCACGCCUGCGCUGCCACCCGCCCUGCUCCGCCAUCGCCUCCUCCAAAGCUCCCCGGAUCCUCCGAGGCGUCGUCGUCCGAGUUGUUCUGCGGGAGGAACUUCUGCUAAAGCCGGUCCUCGAGUCCCCCCCGCCUCAGGAGGGGCAGCGCCCGGAUUGUCUUAAGUACAACACUUGCCAAAAGGGGCUCUUUGGGAUUUGGGACUUUUUUUCCUAAGCAACAGACGUACCUUUCCAGACUCACCAACUUAGAAGCACAGGUUUUCUGUUUGUUUCAUUAUUAGACUUUCAAAGAUCAUCAUGUCCCACAGCCUCCUCCUUUUCCAGAUGAGGGGACUGAAAAUCAGAAACAUUUUGCCUUUUGCUCAAGGUCACACAGCUCAAGUUCACUGGGCGGCUGGGACUAGAGGGUCCGAAUAUUCUGCAGCUAUGAUAUGAAAAAAAUAAGUUUGGCUGGAGGGUGGAGGGCAUCCAGGUCUGUCCUGGCCAGCCGGCGGGGAGGCUCAGCCCAGGGUUCAGAUUUUCCUGGAGCCAGUCCACCAGCGGUCAGGCCACAUGUGAGUAAUGAAGAAUUGAGUGUUGUGUACUUUAGGCUGGUCUCCCUCUUCCUGGCCCCCUUCCCCGGCCUUAACUUCCUUUUGGAGUCCCUACUGACUUCUGGGUGUCCACCAUGGGCCCUGUUGGAAAAAUUUCAGCUCCAUCCCAGAAUAAAAGGAAUGAAAACCUGGGGAAAGGAGCCAAGAAGGAAAAGCCACAAAUUCGCAUCUGGCCGAGGCAGAGGGAGCAGCUCCAAGAGCCUGCAGAAAUGCACUGUGACUGCUGUUUGCAGAGGUUCAGCUGCCAGAGGCUCGGAUGCCCUCCUGGGUCCUGCUCCUGAGAAAUCAGAGCAGGCAAGAGAGAAGACACAUGUUCCCCACCAAAUUUUUCCUGCCGCCAAGUCCUUCAGGUUUCUGCAGACCAUGGGGAAGAACAAGAACUAUGGAGUCAGGCAAGAGGUAGCUGGAAUUCCAACUCCCCAACCCAUUAGAUGGGGCCUUGAGUAAGUGACUCAACCUCUCUAAGCCUCAGUUUCUUUGCCUGUUACAUGAGGGGAACAACAGGACCAUUAUGAGGACUUAUAUAACGUGUACUAUAUAAAGCACUUAACACAGUUCUUGUACCUAGGGCUACAUUGUAACUUUUGUGGGUUUUAGGCAUUUUGGCCUUCGCGGCCAUGAGCCCUUCAUCAAAAACAAAAAUUAAAAAAUACAAAAAU